AUUGAACGCUGGCGGCAGGCCUAACACAUGCAAGUAGAACGAGUGGAGGACGGGUGAGUAAUGUCUGGGAAACUGCCUGAUGGAGGGGUAUAAAUACUGGAAAAGGUAGCGAAUACCGCAUACCAUCGGAUGUGCACAGAUGGGAUUAGCUAGUAGGUGGGGUAAAGGCUCACCUAGGCGACGAUCCCUAGCUGGUCUGAGAGGAUGACCUGCUCCACUGGUACUGAGACCCCGUCCAUACUCCUCCGUGACGCACCAGUCGCGCAUCUUGCAUAACGCGUGAAAGCCUGCUUCAGCCAUUCAGCGUGUACGAAGAAGGCCUUGCGAUGGUAAGGUACUUUCAGAGUGGAGGCUUUACCCGCACAACAAGCACCUGCUAACCCCGUGCCAGCAGCCGCGGUAAUAC
rnacentral:rRNA from 1 species